UCGAGAAUCUUUCGCAAUGGGCGCAAGCCUGACGAAGCGACGCCGUGUGAGCGAAGAAGGCCUUCGGGUUGUAAAGCUCUUUCGCUAGGGAACAAGAAAGGUAGGAUAAUACCCUACUGAUUUGAUGGUACUUGGUAAAGAAGCACCGGCUAACUCCGUGCCAGCAGCUGCGGUAAUACGGAGGGUGCAAGCAUUGAUCGGAAUUACUGGGCGUAAAGGGCGCGUAGGCGGCUCUGAAAGUCAGAUGUGAAAUUCCGGGGCUCAACCCCGGAGCGGCAUUUGAAACUUCAGAACUAGAGUACAGUUAGGGUAAACGGAAUUCCACGUGUAGCGGUGAAAUGCGUAGAUAUGUGGAAGAACACCGGUGGUGAAGACGGUUUACUGGGCUGAAACUGACGCUGAGGCGCGAAAGCUAGGGGAGCAAACA
rnacentral:rRNA from 1 species